UUUCCUUUAUCUAUACAUGUUUUUUGCCCCAAACACACACACACACACACACUCUCUCUCUCUCUCUCUCUCUCUCUACAUGCGAGCUCUCAAGUUCUCUUCGUUCUAGUCUGUUUGUGGUAUGUUCUUCGAGCAUUGCCUUGAUCAAUCGAGCCACUUCGCAUCUCCUCACAAUGUAUGUCAUUCACUUUCUCUCCGAAUCGAUUAAUUUUUCUCUUUGUCUCUCGAUCAUAUUUUCCCAAAAGCUUCAAAUUCAUCAUUUUAUUUGAAGUUAGGGUUCAGUGAGAGCCAUGGAAAUGCAAACUACGAAGCCAAAUGCAAUCUCAAUCAAUUAAUCUCAAGCCCUAACUGAUCUCUAUACUCCUCUGUAUCUAACGAUUCAAUCUCUCUGUAAUAUCUUCUUUGAUCGUGAACUUGAACCAGUUGAAGCAAUUCAUCAAUGAUUGAAAGUCCAAUCCCUCAAUCCUCUUCGAUCCUUCUCUCUCCUUCUUCUGAGACUACCUCGAAAGCCUCGGUUGUAAACUUCCUCCAUCUGCUUACAAGCCUAGAGAAUCUCCCUGCAACAUAUUAGUACUUCUGCAACCAUCUUUGUUCGUAUUUAAUUUGUUUGGCUGCUCAAAAAAUGUAGGAAAAUGCGUGAAACCAAAAUUGUUAGUCUAGAAUUUCAAAUUCCUUUACUUGUGUUCUGUGUGGGUGUGUGGGGAUUCAAGAGCAAGAAUGAUCAACCAAACAUACGAAGGUUUAGGGUUUAGGUCUAUCAAUGAAUUUAACGUUCUAAAUUUUAUGAGUCCGAUUGCAAAAUUCUUAUGUUUUGAAUUUUUUGUGUAGCUUGAUUUAGAGUUUUGAUAGUUUGUAAUAUGUAUUAUCUUAUUGAUGCUGAAUUUUGUAGAUGAGAGACUCUUCUAUUGAGGUCACAGAAGAAAACCGUGAUGCUUCACAAGAGGCUAAGGCACAAGCUAUGGAAGCAAUUUCUAAAAGUAUUCUAAUUUCACUACAUGUACAUAUGCACGUGCAUAGAAGAAGUGUAAAUUGAAUCAAAUUAUGGUUGAACGACCUCGCCUAUCCACUUCAAUGAAAAACAAAAACACUUCAAUGAAGUACUUGGUUUGUUUGACAAAUUUACAAAUAAUAGCAUAAGCUUUCAGAACAAUAAGUGAUCUAACAAGGUAUCCAAACUUUGUGAUUUUAGGAGGCCCUAGGUUAUUCUUUUGUUUCCCUGUGUUAUGUUUGUACACCUGUUUAAUUCUGUUUGUGGAUUAUCUGUUUGUGGAUUAUCCCCACUUACAAGAUAGGGUCACACUAUAAGAUGGCUUGAUAUAGGCUUUAAACUUUGAGAUAAUUGGUGAUCUAACUAAGAUGAAGAAAGUGGAAAAUUGCUUCUAGAGGUUUAGGUGAGUUUUUCCAAAAAAAAAAAAAAUAAAUAAGAAAAAUGAAGGUUUCUGAAAUUUUCACCUAGAAUCAACAUGAAAAAAUAGUUUCACAAGGUUUCAGUGUGAGUGUCAAUGAUGUAUAUCCAAAUUGACCCACCUUUUGCCAAAAAUCUUUGUAUAUCUCUGUUCUGAAGUUUAGAACAAAAGAGAUGUCAACUGUUAGCUUUUUGCCCAAGCCAUUUUUUGUGGAAGGUAAGAGUCUUGCAUGUUCACAAGGCCACAAAUCUAUCAAAUACAAUGCCAAAACAUCUUAUUUAUACAGGCUUACAACCCAAAUAAAAAAGGAAUCACUGCAGCUAAAGCUAUUGUAGAGGCUGGAAUUGCAGUGAUAGAACAUGUGGGGCUUACUCUUCAAGCCAUCAGUGUUCUUGGAGGAUUUAGGCCAUAAGAAAAGAAUAUUGAUAGUGUUGUCAAGGUCAAAAUCUCUCCUUACUUAUUAUGCAUACAUGACAUAAAUACUUCAUAAUUUUUGUUGAUAAAAAAAAAAAAAAACAUAAAUACUUCAUAAUUUAAUAUAUAAUCAAAUAUGAUCACACACAAAUCUGCAUAAUUUAUUUUAGUGUUAUGAUGCUAAUUUGGCUUGGUUUCUGCAAGUUGUUAAGUUUACCCUGGCUUUGCAAGAAGCUGGAUGCUUUUCUGUUGUUCUAGAAUGUGUGCUUGCACCUGUUGCUGCUACUACAACGUCUACUCUUCAAAUCUCUACCAUUGGUAUUGGGGCAAGGCCUUUCUGUAAUAGCCGAGUUAAUUGAUUCUUUAGCUCUCUCUGCUACUCCUAAUAACAAAUUAGACUUGACUGGCUUAUGUUGUGUAUAAUCUUUUUGCUUUCAUGUGUACAUAUAAUUUGCUAUCUGAUCUUGUAAUUUUCUUUUCAAGUACUAAAGUGGGCAUUUUAGUGAUAUCAUGUGUUCAUGUAUUGAGUUUGCUCAUGUAAUGAAUUUUGAAUUUGAUUUUCCUCUC